GUGAGGAAUAUUGGACAAUGGGCGCAAGCCUGAUCCAGCAAUGCCGCGUGCAGGAAGAAGGCCUUCGGGUUGUAAACUGCUUUUGUACGGAACGAAAAGGCUCUGGCUAAUACCUGGAGCUCAUGACGGUACCGUAAGAAUAAGCACCGGCUAACUACGUGCCAGCAGCCGUGGUAAUACGUAGGGUGCGAGCGUUAAUCGGAAUUACUGGGCGUAAAGCGUGCGCAGGCGGUGCUGUAAGACAGGCGUGAAAUCCCCGGGCUCAACCUGGGAAUUGCGCUUGUGACUGCAGCGCUGGAGUGCGGCAGAGGGGGAUGGAAUUCCGCGUGUAGCAGUGAAAUGCGUAGAUAUGCGGAGGAACACCGAUGGCGAAGGCAAUCCCCUGGGCCUGCACUGACGCUCAUGCACGAAAGCGUGGGGAGCAAACAGGAUUAGAUACCCGUGUAGUCC
rnacentral:rRNA from 1 species